CCUACGGGGCGCAGCAGUGGGGAAUAUUGGACAAUGGGCGAAAGCCUGAUCCAGCCAUGCCGCGUGUGUGAAGAAGGCCUUCGGGUUGUAAAGCACUUUCAGUGGGGAAGAAAGCCUUGGGGCUAAUACCCUCGAGGAAAGACAUCACCCACAGAAGAAGCACCGGCUAACUCCGUGCCAGCAGCCGCGGUAAUACGGAGGGUGCGAGCGUUAAUCGGAAUUACUGGGCGUAAAGCGCGCGUAGGCGGUCUGAUAAGCCGGUUGUGAAAGCCCCGGGCUCAACCUGGGAACGGCAUCCGGAACUGUCAGGCUAGAGUGCAGGAGAGGAAGGUAGAAUUCCCGGUGUAGCGGUGAAAUGCGUAGAGAUCGGGAGGAAUACCAGUGGCGAAGGCGGCCUUCUGGACUGACACUGACGCUGAGGUGCGAAAGCGUGGGUAGCAAACAGGAUUAGAUACCCCUGUAGUC
rnacentral:rRNA from 1 species